UUGAACGCUGGCGGCAGGCCUAACACAUGCAAGUCGAGCGGCAGCGGGAAAGUAGCUUGCUACUUUUGCCGGCGAGCGGCGGACGGGUGAGUAAUGCCUGGGAAAUUGCCCAGUCGAGGGGGAUAACAGUUGGAAACGACUGCUAAUACCGCAUACGCCCUACGGGGGAAAGCAGGGGACCUUCGGGCCUUGCGCGAUUGGAUAUGCCCAGGUGGGAUUAGCUAGUUGGUGAGGUAAUGGCUCACCAAGGCGACGAUCCCUAGCUGGUCUGAGAGGAUGAUCAGCCACACUGGAACUGAGACACGGUCCAGACUCCUACGGGAGGCAGCAGUGGGGAAUAUUGCACAAUGGGGGAAACCCUGAUGCAGCCAUGCCGCGUGUGUGAAGAAGGCCUUCGGGUUGUAAAGCACUUUCAGCGAGGAGGAAAGGUUGAUGCCUAAUACGUAUCAACUGUGACGUUACUCGCAGAAGAAGCACCGGCUAACUCCGUG
rnacentral:rRNA from 1 species